CCUACGGGGGGCUGCAGUGGGGAAUAUUGCACAAUGGGCGCAAGCCUGAUGCAGCGACGCCGCGUGAGCGAUGAAGGCCUUCGGGUCGUAAAGCUCUGUCCUAAGGGAAGAAUAAUGACGGUACCGUAGGAGGAAGCACCGGCUAACUACGUGCCAGCAGCCGCGGUAGGACGUAGGGGGCGAGAGUUAUCCGGAAUCACUGGGCGUAAAGGGUGCGUAGGCGGCCGAUAAAGUCGGGGGUGAAAGGCUACGGCUCAACCGUAGUAAGCCUUGGAAACUUAUUGGCUUGAGUGCAGGAGAGGAGAGCGGAAUUCCUGGUGUAGCGGUGAAAUGCGUAGAUAUCAGGAGGAACACCAGUGGCGAAGGCGGCUCUCUGGACUGUAACUGACGCUGAGGCACGAAAGCGUGGGGAGCAAACAGGAUUAGAUACCCUUGUAGUC
rnacentral:rRNA from 1 species